CGGGAUGUAGCGCAGCUUGGUAGCGCAUCUGCUUUGGGAGCAGAGGGUCGCAGGUUCAAAUCCUGUCAUCCCGAUCA
rnacentral:tRNA from 1 species